rnacentral:lncRNA from 1 species
UGUCAAAUUCAUAGUUGGCCUAAAUUGAUCAACAUCUGUUCUCCACUUUCUUGAUGACUAAAUGAGCCACUUGAAGUGUAUCUACUGCCAUUGUUAGAAUAUUGGAGUAUCCAUGCUAAAUGUAGUACAAUAAUCACUAACAUUGAUGAAAUUUAAGUAUGGGAUUGGGUAGAAUCAUUUUUUCCUAUUAAUCAUAAGUCAUACACUUUGAAAAAAGGAAAAAAUAGUAAUUCCUUUAAAAUGUCCCAUUAAAUGUUAAAACAUCCUGUUUUAAUAUCUCCUAUUACUGAUAAAAUUUCAGGUUGUGAAGCUGGGGUAUGGCCAUUUAGAAAAGGAAUGAAUCCCAUUGGUGUGUUUGAAAUUUCUUAAGUUAUUUCGCCUUUUAAUCUAGUUUAAUUGUAGCUUUAAAUGAGUAUUAGUAAAAGCUAAUUUUUAAGGAAAAGCAAACAUAAAUAGGAAAGUUCAUUAAAAAUCUUUUUGGUUGUCUCAUCUUUGGCUCAUGAAUAGUAUUAUCACCCAAGGAG